rnacentral:rRNA from 1 species
UACGUAGGGUGCAAGCGUUAAUCGGAAUUACUGGGCGUAAAGCGCGCGCAGGCGGUCCUUUAAGUCAGGGGUGAAAGCCCAGAGCUCAACUCUGGAACUGCCUUUGAAACUAGAGGACUUGGGUACGGGAGAGGUGAGUGGAAUUCCGAGUGUAGAGGUGAAAUUCGUAGAUAUUCGGAAGAACACCAGUGGCGAAGGCGGCUCACUGGCCCGUUACCGACGCUCAGGCGCGACAGCGUGGGGAGCAAACAGG